UGCAAGAGUAGACUUCCCGAGACUGAAGUAACCUGUGAUAAAUGGACGGCAUAUUGUGGAGGAUGAUUUCACAGUAUGCCCCCAGUGUGAUUUUCCAGUCAUCAGAAGUGAAUUUCUAAGGAUUGUCGAGUCUGAAGAGACUUGUCCUAUGUGCUCCGAGAGAGUUAAUCCUGAAAUGGUAUCAUCCAUCACUGAUAUCCAUCCGUAUCUCGACUAUCAAGGGGAGAAGAAGGCGUAAUUUUUACAUAUUUAAACAUAAAAUACACAUCUUUUAUUAAUGUAUAGAGAAAAUUUAUAGUUUACACAAACUAAGGAACAAAUAUUAUUUUAUAGACGUUUGCUGGUAGCUACUGUACAAAUCAAACGUGCCUUGUUAUUAUCAUAUAUCUUAGACGAAUACGAUAUAAUCACGAGAACAAUUAAAAUAUGCAAAUAUAAUAGGAAUAGUAAAUAGUAAAUAUUCUGACUGAGUUGUGGAAACGAUAAAGCGUCAGUAUUCUCGAUGUAACAGUGCCGUCCACUACAAGUACAAUUUAUUUGAGUACAAGUAUAUAAAUUUUACAUUAGUAAUAUAAAUGUAUUAUAUAAAAUAUAAAAGAAUCAGAGUGUUAUUUGUGUCAUGCAAGCUGCACUUUAAUAUAGAAUAAUUGCCAUAAAAACGUGAAAUAAAACGAUUGAUUCUGCGCAUUUAACAAGUAUGUGUAACAGAAUAUGAAGCAAAUAUUAAUAUUUGUAAUAUCGUCAAUUAAUGUUAUAUAUAUAAUCGUUGC